CUGGCCCUGAUGACCCGCUCUCCUUUGCUCCCUGCCAGGUACCUUCUGUGUGACGUCAACCCUCCAGAGGGAUUCAGCCUCCGUAGGAACGUCUGCAUCCACAUUGCCUUCCUCCUGAAGACCCUGCUGAAGAUGGAGGAGCCGGUACUGGUGCUAUUCCCUUGGGGCCACCUCUACCACUGGCAGAGCCCCGAUCCCUGGUCCGACUCCUUUGAACUCCCAAGUCUCAACAGAAACAUCCCUGACAUAGAGUACGAGCAGUUCAUUGCAGGGUUCAAUUGGUGAUAAUAAUAGUAACCAAAGCAAUAGCAAACCCUUACAGAACUCUGUCCUGCUGUUCCAUGAACGCUGUGUUCAUGACAACCCAAUGAGUUCGCACCACUAUGAGUUCCACUUUAAAGCAGAUGGCCUUGCCUCCUGCUUCAGAGAGAAUGACAUGUUACUGGAAAGGAUCUCGCUCACCUGCAGCAAACCUGCUCACCUCAAAUUUUAUCUGUCUCUCUCCCACCUGGACUCUAGCUGUAGUUGUUCUUAAUUUAGUGAGUUUAGUUGUCAUAUAUAUACACAGUUAAAAGCAUAGCACACUAUAGGCCACCUUCUAGGGCUUACUUUUUCAAUUUAACAUAGAGUGUAUGAUUCAUCCAUUUCAUUGCAUGUACCUGCAGUUCAUUUGUUUUAACUGAUCUUAAAUAUUGU